UGGGGAAUAUUGCACAAUGGGCGCAAGCCUGAUGCAGCCAUGCCGCGUGUGUGAAGAAGGCCUUCGGGUUGUAAAGCACUUUCAGCGAGGAGGAAGGUGGUGAACUUAAUACGUUCAUCAAUUGACGUUACUCGCAGAAGAAGCACCGGCUAACUCCGUGCCAGCAGCCGCGGUAAUACGGAGGGUGCAAGCGUUAAUCGGAAUUACUGGGCGUAAAGCGCACGCAGGCGGUUUGUUAAGUCAGAUGUGAAAUCCCCGGGCUCAACCUGGGAACUGCAUUUGAAACUGGCAAGCUAGAGUCUCGUAGAGGGGGGUAGAAUUCCAGGUGUAGCGGUGAAAUGCGUAGAGAUCUGGAGGAAUACCGGUGGCGAAGGCGGCCCCCUGGACGAAGACUGACGCUCAGGUGCGAAAAGGCGUGGGGGAGCAAAACAGGAUUAGAUACCCCUGGUAGUCCACGCUGUAAAACGAUGUCGAUUUUGGAGGUUGUGCCCCUUNAGGCGUGGNUUCCGGAGCUAACG
rnacentral:rRNA from 1 species